UGCCUACGGGACGCAGCAGUGGGGAAUAUUGCACAAUGGGGGAAACCCUGAUGCAGCGACGCCGCGUGAGUGAAGAAGUAAUUCGUUAUGUAAAGCUCUAUCAGCAGGGAAGAAAAUGACGGUACCUGAGUAAGAAGCCCCGGCUAACUACGUGCCAGCAGCCGCGGUAAUACGUAGGGGGCAAGCGUUAUCCGGAUUUACUGGGUGUAAAGGUAGCGUAGCCGGCCGUGCAAGUCUGGAGUGAAAGGCGGGGGCUCAACCCCCGGACUGCUCUGGCAGCUGUACGG
rnacentral:rRNA from 1 species